UACGUAGGGUGCAAGCGUUGUCCGGAAUCAUUGGGCGUAAAGCGCGCGUAGGUGGCUUCGUAAGUCCGUUGUGAAAGUCAAAGGCUCAACCUUUGAAUGCCGAUGGAUACUGCGAAGCUAGAGUACGGAAGAGGCGAGUGGAAUUCCUGGUGUAGCGGUGGAAUGCGCAGAUACCAGGAGGAACACCAAUAGCGAAGGCAGCUCGCUGGGACGUUACUGACACUAAGGCGCGAAAGCGUGGGGAGCGAACAGG
rnacentral:rRNA from 1 species